rnacentral:misc_RNA from 1 species
UUAACUAUUAUAUAGUACUCAGACAACACUAAUAUUCAGAGUUUAGGGGUCCUUUGGCGGGCACUUACCAGCCAGAGCCGGUAGCCGAAGCGGCCCGCCAAAGCAACAAAGGUAUAGUAUUCAAGGGUGGGAGAUCUACCCGAUAGGGCAUGAACUCUGUAAUGAUCCUUCCGCAGGUUCACCUACGGAAA